rnacentral:tRNA from 1 species
GCCAGCGUAGCUCACCCGGCAGAGCAGCUGAUUCGUAAUCAGCAGGUACGGGGUUCGAUUCCCCGCGCUGGCUCCA